rnacentral:pre_miRNA from 1 species
CAGCUAUUUCCUCCAUUCCGAAUUACUUGUCGCGGGUAUGAAUGUAUCUAGAUAUAUUUUAGUUCUGGAUACAUCCAUUUCUGCGAUAAGUAAUUUGAAACGGAGGAAGUAGUAC